AGUAUUACGCCGGAGUGAACGGAAAUCAUUGAUGUUGAUUAACAUGGGAUAAUUGUCUCUAAUACUA
rnacentral:tRNA from 1 species